rnacentral:rRNA from 1 species
UACAGAGGUCUCAAGCGUUGUUCGGAUUCAUUGGGCGUAAAGGGUGCGUAGGUGGCGCCGUAAGUCAGGUGUGAAAUUUCGGAGCUUAACUCCGAAACUGCAUUUGAUACUGCGGUGCUUGAGGACUGGAGAGGAGACUGGAAUUUACGGUGUAGCAGUGAAAUGCGUUGAUAUCCACAGGAACUCCGGUGGCGAAGGCGGCAUCCUGGACCGGC